rnacentral:rRNA from 1 species
GAUGAACGCUAGCGGCAGGCUUAACACAUGCAAGUCGAGGGGCAGCAUGACACGGAGAUUCGUCGAAGUGUUGAUGGCGACCGGCGCAAGGGUGCGUAACGCGUGAGCAACUUGCCCGUUUCAGGGGGAUAACCGGUGGAAACGCCGACUAAUACCCCAUAGUAUUGUUAUGAGGCAUCUCAAGACAAUUAAAGAAUUUCGGAAACGGAUAGGCUCGCGUGACAUUAGCUAGAUGGCGGGGUAACGGCCCACCAUGGCGACGAUGUCUAGGGGUUCUGAGAGGAAGGUCCCCCACACUGGAACUGAGACACAGUCCAGACUCCUACGGGAGGCAGCAGUGAGGAAUAUUGGUCAAUGGUCUGACGACUGAACCAGCCAUGCCGCGUGAAGGUCACGGCCCUAUGGGUCUUAAACUUCUUUUGUAAGGGAGCAAUAAGUAUUACGUGUAGUACGAUGAGAGUACCUUACGAAUAAGCAUCGGCUAACUCCGUGCCAGCAGCCGCAGUAAGAC